GUAGAAAAAGGAGCAAAAUUUCUAAGUAUGAAAAGUGUCCAUCAAAAAACAUUAAAUAGACCUAGUAUUUUAUAUAGAUGUGCUAUACGCGUGCGCCCGUGAGGGACAGAACAUGCGCAAUGCGACAAUAUUAAAAACACGUUUUAACAUUCCUGACAACAUACCAAAAACAACCUACGUAAUUUGGUCGGGUUAUUUGUUGCCCCUCCAU